rnacentral:snoRNA from 1 species
AAGCUAUACUUUCAGGGAUCAUUUCUAUAGUUUCUAACUUGAGAAAUGUGUUUCUAAAGUGUUUGGUCUCGCCAACCACUGAUGAGUUGUGAUAUUCCUUCUGAGCGUGAAGCUGACAGAGAGUAAUGAUUCACUUCAUAUGUUUCUGUCAUUGAUGAUUUUUCUUACUUCCUGUGGAGUAUUGAGGAAGGGAAUAUGAUCAGAGUGGU